UUUCCUUUUUCUUAAUGGGUGAAUAAUAUUCUCAUCUGUGUGUGUGUGUGUGUGUGUGUGUGUGUGUGUGUGUACACUGUGUAGAAACUUUUUAGUUUGAUGUAGUCCCACUUGUUUAAUUUUGCUUUUGUUGCCUGUGCUAAUCCCCUCCCCUUCGUUGUGAGCUGGAUCUAGAUACUCACUUCCAACGAGUGGAGUACAGCAAUGUGAUAAAACAUCACUUCCAAGACGAGGGCAGGAGGGGACUAAGUCUUCCUUCUUGGUCACAGCUUCCCUUUCUCUUUCUCUGAUCACUUGCCAUGGGGUAAUCCGGUUGCCGUAUCACGAGGUCACUCGGCAACUCAGGAAGAGGUCCACACGGUGACACACUGAGACCGAUAGAUGCUGGGGAACCGAGGCCGGCCAACAACCCUAGCAGUGAUCUUGGAAGUGGACUCUCCACCUGCUGAGCCUCCAGAGACCACGGGCCUGGCUCACAGCUCGACUCCCACCCAACAGGCCCUGAGCCAGAACUGACUGUCCACCUGCUCCUGGACUCCUGAACCACAGAAAACCAUAAGCUCUUUGAAGACAGUGGUGAGGUUAAGUGACUUCCCCAAGACCACACAGCAGAGACAGGGCACAAACCCAGGCCGUUCUCUCCAAAGACAGCUCUUCCUGAAUCAACUUGCUCUUUGGAGAGUUGUCCGGAUCCGCCACCUGGAGCACUGACUGCGUGAGGGGCACGGGCUGUCCACGCCAGUGGGAUGGCUAGACAGAAAGGCAGCUGACAUUAGCACGUGCGGUUAUGUAAUAAGGAGAGAGGGAGGAGCGGAAGGCAGACGGCCGUCUGUUCCGGGACGCAGAGCGCGCAGAGAGAAGCGUGGCGGCGGAAGCGGCCGGAGGCGGAAGCAGUGGCAGGUCCCGGAACCGCGGGACUCAGCCCCGGAGACUCCCGCAGGCGGAUGUCGGAAGCGUCCCUGGCACAGCGCGCACGCGCAGAAGAAAGCCUGGAAGGAAAGCCCUGGAACCUGCGACGCCAAGGACCGAGUAUCGACAGCGAUGAGGUAAGAAGUGAGUCGGAGGUAAUGAAACAGAAUUAACGCCUCGAGACACCCCAUACGAGGAGGGAGACGUUGCCCAAGGUAGGAUCUUAAGGGAAGACAGAAGAGAAAUGCUUUCUUCUCCGUGGAGGCGACCGAGGGGUCCCAGGGAGUGAGGUGGGGAUCCAGGCCGGAUGCAAAGGCCGAAUGUUUGGGGAGCCGAAGGGCUGCUCACGGACAGGAGCCCAAGGCCCCAGGUUCAUCUCCGUCUCCCUGCGAGACCCAGAGAGCAGCCAGAGGAGAAGACAGAUCGCGCCAGACAACUUCUCUUCAAACCCCUGCCACGCGGGCGGCCUCGCGCACAUGGAGGAAAACCCAAGACUUGGGGGAGGCGUGCGAGUCUCCUGCACACAC